GAGGAGGGUAUGCGAAGUAAGUCUUCACUUACUUGGAGGGUCUCGAGAAGUUUGGAUUUUAUAAGUAGGGGUGGAUACCUGUCACCUGAGAGGACAUGCACCCUUUCUCCUUUAGGGCCGUGGAGGUGUGCUCGAACUGCUAGGGGAUAACGACUUGCACAUCAUAAAGUUUGUUGGGAUUACAGAUCUCAGCGAGUGGAGAAAUGGUUAGAGAUUUAUCAUCUUGUGGGUGGAAAGUUUUGGAAUUCCUUUGGCACA
rnacentral:lncRNA from 1 species